GAUGAACGCUGGCGGCGUGCCUAAUACAUGCCAGUCGAGCGAACGGACGAGAAGCUUGCUUUUCUGAUGUUAGCGGCGGACGGGUGAGUAACACGUGGAUAACCUACCUAUAAGACUGGGAUAACUUCGGGAAACCGGAGCUAAUACCGGAUAAUAUUUUGAACCGCAUGGUUCAAAAGUGAAAGACGGUCUUGCUGUCACUUAUAGAUGGAUCCGCGCUGCAUUAGCUAGUUGGUAAGGUAACGGCUUACCAAGGCAACGAUGCAUAGCCGACCUGAGAGGGGGAUGGGAGAACAGGGAAGUGAGACACGGUACAGACGAAUACGGGAGGGAGCAGGAGGGAAUUAUCCGCAAUGGGCGCAAGACUGAAGGAGCAAAGGAGCGUGAGAGAUGAAGGGCUGAGGAUCGUAAAACUAUGUUAUUAGGAAAGAACAAAUGUGUAAGUAACUGUGAAGAGCCAGAAGGGACGUAAUCAGAAAGCAACGGAUAACUACAUG
rnacentral:rRNA from 1 species